AAAGUUUUGAUGGUGACGAUUGUUGGUAUUGUUGUUGUUGUUGUAAGUGUUUGUACGUUGUUGUGGUUGUUGUUGUUGACGUUGUUGUUGUUGAAUUCGUACUGAUUUAUUAUUCAAGAAUACAGGAAUGACUGAAGAUACUUGAUGAUGGUGUUGACGGGAUGGUUGAUUCCUUUUGAUCUGAGGCCUCCUCUGCCUCUCACUAGAAAUUGCAUUAGCUUCG
rnacentral:lncRNA from 1 species